rfam:Theobroma cacao cultivar Matina 1-6 chromosome 1, whole genome shotgun sequence.
GUUGAGGGGAAUGUUGUCUGGUUCGAAGUCAUUCAUAUGAAUCUUAAAUGUCUUCUGAAUGAUUUCGGACCAGGCUUCAUUCCCCCCAAC